ACGCGCAGAACCUUACCAGCUCUUGACAUUCGGGGUUUGGGCAGUGGAGACAUUGUCCUUCAGUUAGGCUGGCCCCAGAACAGGUGCUGCAUGGCUGUCGUCAGCUCGUGUCGUGAGAUGUUGGGUUAAGUCCCGCAACGAGCGCAACCCUCGCCCUUAGUUGCCAGCAUUUAGUUGGGACUCUAAGGGGACUGCCGGUGAUAAGCCGAGAGGAAGGUGGGGAUGACGUCAAGUCCUCAUGGCCCUUACGGGCUGGGCUACACACGUGCUACAAUGGUGGUGACAGUGGGCAGCGAGACAGCGAUGUCGAGCUAAUCUCCAAAAGCCAUCUCAGUUCGGAUUGCACUCUGCAACUCGAGUGCAUGAAGUGGAAUCGCUAGUAAUC
rnacentral:rRNA from 1 species